rnacentral:rRNA from 1 species
AACGCGAAGAACCUUACCUACUCUUGACAUCCAGAGAACUUAGCAGAGAUGCUUUGGUGCCUUCGGGAACUCUGAGACAGGUGCUGCAUGGCUGUCGUCAGCUCGUGUUGUGAAAUGUUGGGUUAAGUCCCGCAACGAGCGCAACCCUUAUCCUUUGUUGCCAGCGGUUAGGCCGGGAACUCAAAGGAGACUGCCAGUGAUAAACUGGAGGAAGGUGGGGAUGACGUCAAGUCAUCAUGGCCCUUACGAGUAGGGCUACACACGUGCUACAAUGGCGCAUACAAAGAGAAGCGACCUCGCGAGAGCAAGCGGACCUCAUAAAGUGCGUCGUAGUCCGGAUUGGAGUCUGCAACUCGACUCCAUGAAGUCGGAAUCGCUAGUAAUCGUGGAUCAGAAUGCCAUGGUGAAUACGUUCCCGGGUCUUGUACACACCG